GGUGAUUGGGAGAGAUGGAAAGCGAUUGCUAUUGUUUUAUUAGGUUUCAAAUGAAGACCUUUAAUUUACAAAGCCAUUUUCUUUUGUAAGAUGUGGAUUUUGUAUAUUAAAGGAAUUGUUUUUUUCUACAGUAAUAAACUAUAGACCACAUUAACGUUGACAUGUUCCAGUGGGAAUGCAGUGACCAAUGAAAUAAUUCAGACACUCUUCACAUUGUCUAUUUGUAGUCUUUAGAUUAACUUUUUUCAAUUGUUAUUGUUGUUGCAAUGCGCAAAUACAAUUGUAAAAAGGGCUGUAGUGAAUUCUAGUUUUAUUCUAGUAAACAUGGUUUGCAAGAUGAUAGCACAUGUACCUGAAAUGAAGGCAGAAUGAUGGCAAGCAAAACUGGAAUGGUUACAUUUAGGGCUGCACGAUAUUGGAAAAAUCUGACAUUGCGAUAUUUUCUUUUGCUACUAUAUGUAUUGCGAUAUGAAUUCAAUUUAAGUUAAACGGUGCUUUAUGGCUUUCUGGGGAGUUAAACAGUAUUCUUUCAUUAAUUUUUUCGUCAGGGGUCACCACAGUGGAAUGAACCGGCAACUUACCCAGCAUGUUUUACAAAGUGGAUACCCUUUCUGCUGCACCCAGGAUAAUUCUGGGGCAAGUUCGAUGUUUCCCAUGUUUUAAGAGCGGCAAACCAAUCUGGUUCUAGCACUGCAAUGGCAUGGAUUUUGCUGAUGGGACUACUUGACAUAGAUACGCUCUAACAGAUCAAUUUGAGAGGUGGAGAAUUAAAAGUUGCAAAAGGAGAGCAAUGUCAAGCCCUUGAUGGUGAAAGUCAAGGCAAUCACUGGAAGAGGCAGUUUCCUGGCACUGAUGACGACGCUGAUCCUGCAGUGUUUGGGUCUCAGGACAGACUCUGGAUCAGGCUCUGGUUCUGGAUCAGUUAGAUAAGACCUUGCUGCUUUCUGUGUGAAGUCCAUACAGAGAAAAACACAAGAGGAAAUAUAAAAACAUGUCUGGCAUUUGUCUAGCGCAUAUUUAUAUGACAUGAGAAGCAUCCCAGCGGGCACCUUGAUGACAAAACUACAUCAGAAACAGCAUAAAAAUGCAGAUCGAUUUAUGUCAGCUGAUUAACUUGACGUGUUUUUGACGCCAGUGUUAGAUUUCAAUUUGAUGUCGUUUAGACGUCAAGCUAGUUUACAUGCAUUGUAGAGAUAUUUGUAAUUUGUUCUUGAAGCUUUCAGAUAAAUAAAACAUUUCUUAUAA